rnacentral:rRNA from 1 species
UCUGAUGAGAAAGAAGAAGAGGAAGAGGAUGUUGCACCAUCUCCUAAAGCUCAGAAGCUAAUGGGAGAUGCAAUCAAGUCAGGGGCUGCUCCAUCUAAGCCCAAAGCUGCUCCCAAGGCUGCUGCUCCAGCACCAAAGCCUAAACCCAAGAGGAACACCAGAAAUAUUCAUGCAUCUGAGAAGAACAAGGCCCCAGUGCCUGAAGCUGCUCAAGAAGAUGAUGAUUCUCUUGUUUUGAGAAAAUCGAAGCCCAAGAUUCCUGAUCACAAUGAUGCUCAUCCAGUUGCUGAGGAAAUGCAUAUCAGAAAGGAUGCUGGACUGAGAUUGUGGAGAUAA